rnacentral:rRNA from 1 species
ACGAACGCUGGCGGCAGGCUUAACACAUGCAAGUCGAGCGGGUGGUCUUCGGGCCAUCAGCGGCGGACGGGUUAGUAACGCGUGGGAACGUGCCUUGUGCUUGGGAAUAGCCCUGGGAAACCGGGGGUAAUACCUGAUGUGCCCUGAGGGGGAAAGGUCUUUGGACUGGCACAGGAUCGGCCCGCGUCUGAUUAGGUAGUUGGUGGGGUAACGGCUCACCAAGCCGACGAUCGGUAGCUGGUUUGAGAGGAUGAUCAGCAACACUGGGACUGAGACACGGCCCAGACUCCUACGGGAGGCAGCAGUGGGGAAUCUUAGACAAUGGGCGCAAGCCUGAUCUAGCCAUGCCGCGUGGGUGAUGAAGGCCUUAGGGUCGUAAAGCCCUUUCGCCGGGGAAGAUAAUGACGGUACCCGGUAAAGAAACCCCGGCUAACUCCGU